rnacentral:rRNA from 1 species
UCAGGCCUAACACAUGCAAGUCGAGCGCGAAAGUCUUCGGAUGAGUAAAGCGGCGAACGGGUGAGUAAUGCAUGGGAAUCUGCCUGGUAGUGGGGGGCAACGUCUCGAAAGGGACGCUAAUACCGCAUACGCCCUACGGGGGAAAGGGGGGGAUCUUCGGACCUCUCGCUAUCAGAUGAGCCCAUGUCAGAUUAGCUAGUUGGUGAGGUAAAGGCUCUCCAAGGCGACGAUCUGUAACUGGUCUGAGAGGAUGAUCAGUCACACUGGAACUGAGACACGGUCCGGACUCCUACGGGAGGCAGCAGUGGGGAAUAUUGGACAAUGGGGGCGACCCUGAUCCAACAAGGGCCGCGUGUGUGAAGAAGGCCCUAGGGU